rnacentral:tRNA from 1 species
GGUGGCUUAGUGAUAGAGCACUUGCCUUGCAUGUAUGAGGCCCUGGGUUCGUUCCUCAGCACCA